UCAACACAUACCCCCCAGUUUCGGAGUAAAACAUAGUCUUUACUUCGAAAUUCUUUUCAACUUCCCUUCCGAAACAACCGCAAUGAAAAUAUCCUUCCGUUUCGCGGUCUUCAACCUGAUGAUUGCAAUCUUUUCGAAAUGGGCGCCCACGACAACCAUUACUCCCGAAAAACUCGAAACGCCGGCGCGGUAAAAAUUCCAUUUUUACCCUUCCUCAGGCCCCCUUUAAAUAUCAGCACAUCCCGCACUUCCCUUUCGAGCUCACGUCCUUCUUCCUCAGCGCGCGAGCCUUCUUCUUCCUCCAGCACUUUUCCUUAGUUCCACAGCUUUCCGGCACCAUCUUCCUGUCGCUUUUCU
rnacentral:lncRNA from 1 species